GGUCGAAAAUACUGAAUAAUUAAACAAACCAAAUGGCAUCACUGGUGGUUCUUUUUUCCACUCCGCUAAACUGUCAUCUCAAACAAAAACAAAUGGAUCAUACAACUGCUAUGAAUACAUUCGACUCGUUUGCUUCCAUCAAUCGGUAAGUGAGAAAGAUGAUUUCUCCAAUCACCACAGUGCGGAUUUCCACUUCUAUCACAGCAGCCAACAACAUCCGUUUUCCUGCAGCAGUAACGUCCAACCCCUGUUGGCAAUGCCGGGGGACAGCAUCAACAGCAGCAGCAGCAGAAUUUGACCAUGGUAUGGUAUUGCGAAGAACUUUCCCCAUUAGAGGUUCCGUGCUUCGCGCACAUUCAAAAAUCCUCUUCAGACACGAAAACUCAACGACAAGGAGGUAUUUAUCAACUUGCUCAGCUGAAUUACCACCCCGGAGGAACCCGAAUGCACUGAUUCCGUAGUAUAGUAGAAUGGAAAUAGGCGAGGUAAGCGAACGUAAUCGCAUGAAAUUUUAAUGUUCGCAUUUUUAUCCGGAUCAUACACUGCUAUGAAUACAUCCGACUCAAUCAAUCGGCGAGUGAGAAAGAUGAUUUCCCUCAUCACCACAUUGCUUAUUUCCUCUUCUGUCACACCAGCCAACAGCAUCAGCUUUCCCGCAGCAGUAUCCUUUAAGUCCAGGGUGCUAUUCCGGGGAACAGCAUCAACAGUAACAGCAGCAGGACCUGGCCAUCGAUAGUAUUUCGAGCAAUUUUCCCCAUCGGAGAUCCCGUGCUUCACGCACAUUGAAGAAUCCUCCUCAGCCACAUAUCUGUGUCAUCAAGGGCAAGGAGGUAUUCAUCAAUGUACUCAGUCGGAUUUGAAUCGUCAAUCCAGACAACUCGGAUGCACCGAUUCCAUUAUAUACCUUAUUUUUAUUAU